GACAUAGCUCAGUUGGUUAGAGCCUGGCGCUGAUAACGCCAAGGGUGCAAGUUUGGGACAGCUGCAUGUUCCUGCAUUGCAGCG